rnacentral:lncRNA from 1 species
AAUACUCAGAGAUAAUAUUAAUGAGAGCCUAGAGUUUUUUUCUUUUAAAAUGGGGUUCCAUGGCUUUGGGCAGAAAUGAUUUUUAUAUGUAUCAUGAUUGAAAAAACUCUCAGUACAAGAUGAUGCACUUCUUUAUACAGGAAUGGAAUAAACCAAAAAAAAAGUAUACUUAGAAAACUCUUAAAUGACAAUACAACUAUGAAUCUUAAACAUUUUUGGGAAGCAAAUAGAGAUGACAUAUCAAGAUCAAAUUGUAAAAUCCAUUUCUGGAAGCUGGAAACUCCUGGAUCAAGGCCCUGGCAGAUUCUGUCUGGUGAGAGCCCAUUCCUUAUGGUGGUAACUUCUAUAUGUCUUCCCACCACAGAAGGGGGAAAACGGGAAAACUAGCAAGAGCUAGCAAGAACUAGCAAGAGCUUGAACAAACGCCUGGACUCAGAUUGGAAGACUGCUCAUUUGUCUACUGCCUCAUUCCUGGAAAUUGCACUGGAACUGUCUGAUUAAGAAAAACAGAAUAAUUCUGAAAGAAAGAAAACAAAGAAAAACAUACUCCAGAAUUCCUAAUAGAACACUUCACCUGAACCUA